rnacentral:rRNA from 1 species
GACGAACGCUGGCGGCGUGCCUAAUACACGCAAGUCGAGCGCAGGAAACUGACGGAACUCUUCGGAGGGAAGGCGGUGGAAUGAGCGGCGGACGGGUGAGUAACACGUAAGGAACCUGCCUCAAGGAUUGGGAUAACUCCGAGAAAUCGGAGCUAAUACCGGAUAGUUCAUCGGACCGCAUGGUCCGUUGAUGAAAGGCGCUUCGGCGUCACCUUGAGAUGGCCUUGCGGUGCAUUAGCUAGUUGGGGGGGUAACGGCCUACCAAGGCGACGACGGAUAGCCGACCUGAGAGGGUGAUCGGCCACACUGGGACUGAGACACGGCCCAGACUCCUACGGGAGGCAGCAGUAGGGAAUCUUCCACAAUGGACGAAAGUCUGAUGGAGCAACGCCGCGUGAGUGAUGAAGGUUUUCGGAUCGUAAAACUCUGUUGUAAGGGAAGAACACAUACGAGAGGGAAUGCUCGUACCUUGACGGUACCUUACGAGAAAGCCACGGCUAACUACGUGCCAGCCGCCGCAGUAA